AUCAGUUAAUUAUUGUAUAAAGUAUUAUAAUAAAAUAGUAAGUGUAUCAACCUAGUGCUCUGCAUUUCUGAAGGCUGUUUGAGGAUGAAUGUGGGACCUUGUGUAUCUUUCAGCAUUUGUUUUAAGAAUUUGUCAAUCAAUUAUUUAUUCCAUGGGUGUUUCUGACCUAAACUCUUUUUUUUGUAGUACCAGAUACAAAACCAGGAUUACUGUGUUUAUUUCCCAGGCGGAUGGAGAUAUGAAAGUGACAUUGGAUGCCAACUUUGGCCUUGUGAGGAAGCAAAGCUCUGGGACAAGUGUGGUUGAGCCGUUGCAUGGAACCCACAUGUUUGUUGAUGAAAAGGAUGUAGUGGAAUACCUGCCAUCACAUCAUGACAGCUCAAAGCCUCAUGAGAUUAGUCGCAAUUAGCCUGUCCCCUGUGUGUCAUCGAUGAGCUUCUUCGAAGAUGUGACAAGAAGCACAUCCACCUGCGAGUUGUCUAUGACAUUGCCUGUGUUGUUGCUUCCCAUUUGCAUAAAUCAGGGGAGGGCAUAGCACUCUCUUGGCCGUACCAGCAUUUCACAUUUAUGGACACAAAUUGCCAUGCCAGAUCAAGUACAGCACCAGACGGCUUGAUGGUUUUGGGCUCACGGCUUUGGACGGGGAAGGAAUGGAAAGGCUGUGGUCUUUCCUCCGAAGACUUGCCAGAGUCACAAAGGAGAUGACUCCCUCGCACCGCCUGGACCUGUUGACUGAUGCCCUUCUGCUUUAUGGACGGAGGAAAUCAACUGACCCAGAGGUGCAGCUCUUGCAAAAAUUAGACAAGGAAGAGAAAAUAUCAAUCCUCGCUCAAGAAGACAUCUCAUCUGUCAUCAGAGAAGCACCAGGUAAGUC